ACUCGUCGGAUGAAUCGGACCAGAGUAAACGAACUACAUGUGUGAAAAUUCCACGAAAGAGUGCCUCCGUACACAGAUGCAUCAUCAUCAUCAGGAGGGGCGGGUUCCUUGGCAGCUGAGAUGACGCUAACAGCAAACUCUCUAGGUGUUUCCUUCCUGCUCAAAGUUUCUUCUUCCUGAGGUUACUGUCUGAUGAUCGUGUCCGUGUGAAGGCAAAGGUAAAAAAUGUGUGUGAGCUGAUGUGGAUGUGAAUUCAGCAGCAUGGAUAAGUGUGAGGACAUAGAGGAGGGAGUCCCUCCCUCUAAAAGAGACAGAGAGAGCCAGAACAAAGGUCAGAGGAACCAACCUGGACCUGAACCCAGCUGUUUUUCCUUCAAGAGUGACCAGUCGAUUCCUUUUUAUAUUGGGUUUAAAGAAGGCUGCUGUUCUCCUGCAGAGAGGGUGGAUCAGCAGAGCUCAGAGGUUCCCAGUGAUCAGUCUGCCCAGCAGCAUCAAACACAGCUGGACUCCAUAUUUAUGACUGAGUGGCUGUAACCUCUUGGAAAGAAGCUGUGAAGUUAUGUCCUCAGUUGUCAACUUCCACUCCUCUACUCUGAAAGAGCUGGACCUGAGUAACAAUGACCUACAGGAUUCAGGAAUGAAGCUUCUGUCUGCAGGACUGGAUAGUUCUCAAUGUACACUAGAAACCCUCAGCUUGGGUCCUCUUCCAGAGGCCUGCAGCUUGAUGGUCCUGUGCAAUAUCUUUGCUAAUUCUAGGACUGCACUCUUCUGGACAAAGAUCUUGGAUGUUGAUACUUAGAUCUGCUUGAGCCACUUGCCUAGCUUCGGGGGUCACUGCACUACGUGCUCGAAUUACCACUGGGACCACUAUUGCCUUCACCCUCCACAUCUUCAUGAGCUCUUCUCUGAGCCCUUAGUACAUUUCAAGCUUCUUCAGGAACUCAUCAGGAACUCAGUGGGGAUGUGGCAUACAACACUAGAGGCAAACUUCAAGCCCAUAGCACAAGUGACCAUCAAGUGCAGGAUCUCCCAAGGAGAUGCUCUCUCCCCACUGUUGUUCUGCGUAGGCCUGAACCCCUUUAGUGAGCUCAUUAUCAAGACUGGCUACGGAUACAGACUAUGGAAUGGAGCAGUUGUCAGCUACCUCCUGUACAUGGAUGACAUCAAGCUGUAUACCGAGAGUGAAUGAGACAUCAGGUAAUCAGAACUCAGGGGAUCCAACUACCAGAAGGCAACAUCGCAGGCAAUGUGGAGAGCUACAUGUACCUGUGAAUCCCAUAGGCAAAUGGGAACUACAAAGAGGCUGCUAGGAAAGCUGCAGUGACCAAGUACCUGCAGAGGGUCAGGCAAGUCUUGAGGAGCCAGCUGAACGGUAAGAACAAGAUUCAGGCUAUCGUGAUCAGGUAUCCUGCUAGGAUAAUAAGCUGGCCAAAGGAGGAGAUAGAAGCCACUGACAUCAAGACAAGGAAGCUCCAUCAACCAUGCAUGGAGGGUUUCACCCCAAGUCCAGCACCCUGAGGGGUGUAUGCUAAGCAGAACCCGGGAGGCCGGGGACUAGUGAGUGUCAGCACCACAGUCUAGGAUGAGACAGUGAACAUCCAUGAAUACAUCAGGAAGAUGGCCCCAACCAACUGCAUGCUCAGUGAAUACCUCAGGCAGCAAAAACCCAAGAAGGAAGAGGAGCAAGAGGAGGAGCACUCAUUGAAGGACAGGCACUGUAUGUAUCACCGGCAGAUGAGGAAUAGGCUGACAUCCAGAAAUUCUAUUAGUGGCUGGAUUGAAAGACAGCACGGAAGUACUAAUCAUGGCAGCACAAAACAAGCUCUCAGAACAAUCCAUAGAGGCUGGGGUCUAUCCGCACCAGACAAGACCCCCAGUGCAGGCUGUUUAAAAAAGUCCCUAAGACUAUCCACCGCAUAACAGCUGGGUGCAAGAUGCUAGCAGGCAAGGCAGACAUGGAACGCUAUAACCAAGUUGCCGGCAUAGUAUACAGAAACAUCUGUGCUGAGUAUGGCUUGGAAGUCGUGAGAUCAAAACGGGACUUCCAGAUACAGACGGAAAAAAUGGUAAUGUCUAACCAACCAGACAUAGUAGUGGUAGACAAGCAGAGGAUAGAGGAUAGCUUGUGAUAGUCAUAGCAAUACUGACAGCAACAUCAGGAAGAAGGAACAUAAGAUGUUAGUGAAAUACUAAGGGCUCGGAGAAGAGCUCGAGAAGAUGUGUAGGGUGAAGGUAACAGGGGUCCCAGUUGUAUUCAAUGCAAUUGAUGAAGUGACUUGCAAGCUAGGCGGCUGGCUUCAGCAGAUCCCAGGAACAACAUCCGAGAUCUCUGUCCAGAAAAGCACAGUUCUAGGAACAGCAAAGAUGCUGUGCAGGACACUCAAGCUACCAGACUUCUGGUAGGGUACCUUAGAUUGAAAGAUAAAGACCCCUGCAACUCAGUAUAGUACAGUAUAAUACUACUCCAUUCAACAAGCAACCUCUAACCCUGUAAGAUUGUUUUAAAUAGUCUGGUCAGAAAGUUCACUGCUCUGUCUCCUAGAUAUCGCCAUACUGAUACGAGUAUGUCAUCUGGACUGCCUUUAAUCCUCUUUCUAGCUGCCAUCACUUCUACCUUACUAAUCCUCUGCACUACCUGAUUCUAAACUAGAUCAAGAUACAAAUCUUUUUUUCAUCCUUCCUCACACAUACACGUCUUUUCCUUUGCUUUUGCUAUUUUUCUUUUGCUGUACACCUUCCUAUACCUUUGUCUUUCUUAAUUUCUAUAACUAGCCCCCUUUUCCUUUGUUAACCUCUUUCUUUCAAUAUUUGUGUGUAUAUUGUAAUUCCAUUAUAAAGUAGAGAUGGCACGAUACCAAUUUUUUAUGUCCGAUACAAGACCGAUAUCAUAAAUUUGUCUAUCUGCCG